rnacentral:pre_miRNA from 1 species
GUGAGAUAGAAUUAGCGUUUGGAAAAGCAAUUUUACGUUGAUUCUGUCUCAUGA